rnacentral:rRNA from 1 species
UUGGAGGGCAAGUCUGGUGCCAGCAGCCGCGGUAAUUCCAGCUCCAAUAGCGUAUAUUAAAGUUGUUGCAGUUAAAAAGCUCGUAGUUGAAUUUCGGGAUUGACGUGAUGGUCAUGCCUUAAGGGGUAUGAACUGUUACAGUUGAUUUCUCACCUUCUGGAGAAACUUGAUGUCCUUUAUUGGGUGUCUUGCGGAUCCAGGACCUUUACCUUGAAAAAAUUAGAGUGUUUAAAGCAGGCAUUUUUGCUCGAAUACAUUAGCAUGGAAUAAUAGAAUAGGACGGCAUGGUUCUAUUUUGUUGGUUUCUAGGAUCACCGUAAUGAUUAAUAGGGAUAGUUGGGGGCAUUAGUAUUCAAUCGUCAGAGGUGAAAUUCUUGGAUUUAUUGAAGACUAACUACUGCGAAAGCAUUUGCCAAGGAUGUUUUCAUUAAUCAAGAACGAAAGUUAGGGGAUCGAAGACGAUCAGAUACCGUCGUAGUCUUAACCAUAAACUAUGCCGACUAGGGAUCGGACGAAGUUAAUUUUAUAAUGACGCGUUCGGCACCUUACGGGAAACCAAAGUGUUUGGGUUC